GACGAACGCUGGCGGCGUGCCUAAUACAUGCAAGUCGAACGCUGACGGAGGAGCUUGCUUCUCUGGAUGAGUUGCGAACGGGUGAGUAACGCGUAGGUAACCUGCCUGGUAGCGGGGGAUAACUAUUGGAAACGAUAGCUAAUACCGCAUAAGAGUAGAUGUUGCAUGACAUUGGCUUAAAAGGUGCAAUUGCAUCACUACCAGAUGGACCUGCGUUGUCUUAGCUAGUUUGUGGGGUAACGGCUUACCAAGGCGACGAUACAUAGCCGGCCUGGGGGGGGGGUUGGGCACCCUUGGAAUGGGACCCGGCCCCGGACCCUUCGGGGAGCCGCCGUAGGGGAUCUUCGGCCAUGGACGGAAGUCUGACCGCACAACGCCGCGUGAGUGAAGAAGGGUUUCGGAUCGUAAAGCUCUGUUGUAAGGGAAGAACGAGGGUGAGAGUGGAAAGUUCACUCUGUGACGGUAUCUUACCAGAAAGGGACGGCUAACUACGUG
rnacentral:rRNA from 1 species